rnacentral:rRNA from 1 species
CUUCGGGUAUUGAGGAUGGCGGACGGGUGAGUAACGCGUAAGGAACUUGCCUCUUGGACUGGGACAACUGUUGGAAACGACAGCUAAUACCGGAUAUUAUGAGAUUCUCGCAUGAGAAACUUAUGAAAGCUAUAUGCGCCAAGAGAGAGCCUUGCGUUCCAUUAGCUAGUUGGUGGGGUAAUGGCCCACCAAGGCGACGAUGGAUAGCCGGCCUGAGAGGGUGAACGGCCACAAGGGGACUGAGACACGGCCCUUACUCCUACGGGAGGCAGCAGUGGGGAAUAUUGGACAAUGGGCCACAAGCCUGAUCCAGCAAUUCUGUGUGCACGAUGAAGGUCUUCGGAUUGUAAAGUGCUUUCAGUUGGGAAGAAGAAAGUGACGGUACCAACAGAAGAAGCGACGGCUAAAUACGUGCCAGCAGCCGCGGUAAUACGUAUGUCGCAAGCGUUAUCCGGAUUUAUUGGGCGUAAAGCGCGUCUAGGCGGAAAAAUAAGUCUGAUGUUAAAAUGCGGGGCUCAACUCCGUAUUGCGUUGGAAACUGUUUUUCUAGAGUACUGGAGAGGUGGGCGGAACUACAAGUGUAGAGGUGAAAUUCGUAGAUAUUUGUAGGAAUGCCGAUGGAGAAGUCAGCUCACUGGACAGAUACUGACGCUGAAGCGCGAAAGCGUGGGGAGCAAACAGGAUUAGAUACCCUGGUAGUCCACGCCGUAAACGAUGAUCACUAGGUGUUGGGGGUCGAACCUCAGCGCCCAAGCUAACGCGAUAAGUGAUCCCCCUGGGGAGUACCCACGCAAGUGUGAAACUCA